UUUUGUAAGGGUGUUUACACGUUUAUCAGAUACACUUCUGCACCACUGGGCCUGGCUAUCAUCUUCAUCAACAUCUUAGCUUUCAAAGCUAUAAGCAAUGUUAUGAGAUCACAUCUAUCGUUUGGAGGAAACGCUGUAACUCUAAAAGGGAUCACCUUUUUUGACGUGAUGAACGGAUGUUUUCUGUUAAUAUACUUCGUUGAGACUGCUAUGGGCAGCUUUUUGAAAGGUAGCGGCAGCGGUACUGGAAAAUAUUUCUGGAAAGCAGAGGUGUGGUGUUCGUGGCUGUGCAUAUACUCAUCCGUCCUAUUCCGUCUCUACCUUUGCUGCCAGCGUCUCUACAGUUACGGAAUGCUCCUCGUCACUGCUCAAAACACCCAUCUCAUUCCUGAGUCUAGGAGGAAAUCCUACAAAGUAUGUUGUGCUCUGUUUAUCGUUGCAAACAUCGAGCUAGCAACUGUCCUUCUGACCAAACACCCUUGGUACAACUUCUUCAAGGAGAGAGGGAUGUACACAAUUCCUUUUCUGCUCAUCCAGGACGUAGCGGUCGUUCUAGUGAGUCUCCUCUCAAUUGUUGUCCUUGUUUCUUCCACUUCGCGAUCGUACAGCAACGUUCUCGUGUCAUCUGCCGUUCUUCCGCUCUGUCUGAUUUCAGUCUCUUCAGUGAUCACUAAUCUAGCUACUUUUUACGGUGACGUUCUAUGUCUGUCAAGGUCUAUAGAGGUCACGAAUCAUUUUUUACUUACAAUGAAACCAGAAUGUUUUAUACCAUUGGCAAAAGCCUUGACGUACUUCGAUUCUCUAUUUUUCCCGAUUAUUUUGUUUUAUACGAGUGCAAACCUAAGAAAGAGCCUUGAGCAAGUUGUAUGUGGCGUUCAGCCAGUUAG